rnacentral:rRNA from 2 species
CAGCCGCCGCGGUAACACCAGCCCCUCGAGUGGUGGGGAUGAUUAUUGGGCCUAAAGCGUCCGUAGCCUGCCGUGUAAGUUUCCCGUUAAAUCCAGCGUCUUAAGCGUUGGACUGCGGGAAAUACUGCACGGCUAGAGAGUGGGAGAGGUCAGCGGUAUUCUGGGGGUGGGGGCGAAAUCCUUUGAUCCCCGGAGGACCACCAGUGGCGAAGGCUGCUGACUAGAACACGUCUGACGGUCAGGGACGAAAGCUGGGGUAGCGAACCGGAUUAGAUACCCGGGUAGUCCCAGCCGUAAACGAUGCAUGCUAGGUGUUGGGUUGGCCACGAGCCACCCCAGUGCCGCAGGGAAGCCGUUAAGCAUGCCGCCUGGGAAGUACGGUCGCAAGGUUGAAACUUAAAGGAAUUGGCGGGGGAGCAC